rnacentral:rRNA from 1 species
UACGGGGGGGGCAAGCGUUGUUCGGAAUUACUGGGGGUAAAGGGCUUGUAGGUGGCCAACUAAGUCAGACGUGAAAUCCCUCAGCUUAACUGGGGAACUGCGUCUGAUACUGGAUGGCUUGAGUUUGGGAGAGGGAUGCGGAAUUCCAGGUGUAGCGGUGAAAUGCGUAGAUAUCUGGAGGAACACCGGUGGCGAAGGCGGCAUCCUGGACCAACACUGACACUGAGGAGCGAAAGCCAGGGGAGCAAACGGG